rnacentral:misc_RNA from 1 species
GCUGAACAAUCAUUUAAAAAUAUGCUCAGAAAGAGAGGGAGAUGAAUAAAAGCAGCUUGCUAAUGCUAACUCUUCACCGGAACCAAAGCCUUGCUCACCAACUCUCUCAUCCUUUUUCCACUAACAGAUCAGUUUAACAUGUGUUAAUGCCUGAAUCCAGGCCUUAAUUAAUGCCACCCUAUGUGCCACUAAAAUCAGGCACCAUAACCAUGAGAAAAAUUCAUUGCUAAAUAGUCUACUAUCCAUCAUAUCUCUCAAGAAGCAACUUUUCCUCCAACUUUGCAGACCCGAGCUUAGGCAGCAACUCAGAAACCACCUUUUGUAAGGCAACACGAUUCAGCCGGUUGUCGCUUCCAUUUAUGGCCAUUUUUGAAAGGAAAGUAAUUUCUUGAGCAUCCAAUUUCUUUACAACUUCAUUCCAAAAUUCGUCAUCCUCGUUGAUAUUUGAUGCUCUCAUGAGUUCUAUUACUUUCUCCAAGGUUGCUACAUUACGACCAGCUCCACGACCCAUGGCAGUUGCAGCACCCACUGCAUUUGCAACUGCUAAUGUAUUUACCAAGGGCAUAUCAUGUAUGAAACCAUAUGCAAUAGCGGCUACAAAACUAUCUCCACAACCAACAGUAUCAAUGACGUCCACCUUGAAUGCAGGUGCACAAGAAAUACUUGACAUGGUGACUAGAAUUGAACCCCUAGAACCCAUCUUCACGAUCACCCAUUUUGUACGCACACCAUUCCAAAGCAACUCUUGUCCUGCUAAUAGUGGGUCUCCUAUGCCAGUCAAUGACACAGCCUCAUCAGAUGUCAGAAGAAGAACAUCGCUCAUCUUCAAAAAAUGGUGAAGUGCUUUUUGUUCUUCAGGUGUUCCAGUAGAAAGACUCUUUCCACGUGGUCCAGGAUCAAAGAAAACAGCUGUCCCAACUUCAGCAGCAUAAUCUAGAGCUGAGACUAUCAAACUGGGGUUGAGCUCAUCAAAGCCAUAACCAUUGCAGAACAGGACCUUUGACUGUUUAAUAGCCAUCUUUGCUUCUCCUGAUAACUUGCUUAUCCAGCUAAAUGCAGGCUCCUUACUAAAAUCAGCUCGACUACAAAAGCCAUGCCUUUGCAAAGGGUCCACAAGAACCCAGCAUAAAAGUGUUUCAUACGAGGUACUUGAACUGUCAACGAUAUCAACAUCUUCACUCAUCCCAACCACGCUAAUCCCCUCAUCUUGAAGCACAUCUAGGAGGAAAUUUCCAUAAAUUUCAUUGCCCACAUGACCAAUUGUGGCACAACGGAGUCCUAGUCUUGCAGCUGCUAUGGACAUAUUGCAGUUACCACCAGCUUCCCAGUAUUGCUUAUCAGGAGGGGAAGCGGAUAACUGAU